GUCAGCCAAAUGUCAUGUAAAGUAAUGCUAUAUAGGCUCUUUACAACUACACAAAGUUGUUAUAAACAGACAGCCC